rnacentral:rRNA from 1 species
UCUUGUAAAGAGGGAUAGGAGAAUUGGAGGGCAAGUUUGGUGCCAGCAGCCGCGGUAAUACCGACUCCAAGAGUGUGUAUGAGAGAUGCUGCAGUUAAAAAGUCCGUAGUCAUAGAAGGGCAAAGAGAGAUGCGAGGUCUCACAGUGCGAUGAUGGAGGAGCCGAUGGGGAACAUAGUAUACCAGGGCGAGAGAUGAAAUGCCAAGACCCCUGGUGGACUGAGCGAGGCGAAGGCGAUGUUCUUGUAGGCAUUCGGUGAUCAAGGACGAAGGCUGGAGUAUCGAAAGUGAUUAGAUACCGCAGUAGUUCCAGCAGUAAAAGAUGCCGACAUGCUCAUUGGACACAGUGGGCAGGGAGAAAUCUUAGAGUUCGGGCUCUGGGGAUAGUAUGCUCGCAAGGGUGAAAAUUAAAGAAAUUGACGGAGCUACACCACAAGGAGUGGAUUGUGCGGCUUAAUUUGACUCAACGCGAGGAAACUUACCAGGGCCAAGUAUUGUGUAGAAACGAGCAAUACAGGAGUGGUGCAUGGUCGUUGGAAAUUGAUGGGAUGACUUUGACCUUAAAUGGUUGAAUGAGUGAGAUCUUUUGGACAUGUUCCGCACGGAACAGGAAGGAAAAGGCUAUAACAGAUCCGAGAUGCCCUCAGAUGCCCUGGGCUGCACGCGCAAUACAAUAGCAGGUAGAGAGAGAGACAGGAAGGUGCUCAGAUGGACUAUGUGCUGUAAGGCACAUACGAAAGAGGAA